rnacentral:rRNA from 1 species
GACGUAGGGCGCGAGCGUUGUCCGGAUUUAUUGGGCGUAAAGAGCUCGUAGGCGGCUUGUCGCGUCGUCUGUGAAAUCCCGCGGCUCAACCGCGGGUCUGCAGUCGAUACGGGCAGGCUAGAGUUCGGUAGGGGAGACUGGAAUUCCUGGUGUAGCGGUGAAAUGCGCAGAUAUCAGGAGGAACACCGGUGGCGAAGGCGGGGUCUCUGGGCCGAUACUGAC